rnacentral:rRNA from 1 species
GACGAACGCUGGCGGCGUGCUUAACACAUGCAAGUCGAACGGAAAGGCCCUGCUUUUGCGGGGUGCUCGAGUGGCGAACGGGUGAGUAACACGUGAGUAACCUGCCCUUGACUUUGGGAUAACUUCAGGAAACUGGGGCUAAUACCGGAUAGGAGCUCCUGCUGCAUGGGGGGGGUUGGAAAGUUUCGGCGGUUGGGGAUGGACUCGCGGCUUAUCAGCUUGUUGGUGGGGUAGUGGCUUACCAAGGCUUUGACGGGUAGCCGGCCUGAGAGGGUGACCGGCCACACUGGGACUGAGAUACGGCCCAGACUCCUACGGGAGGCAGCAGUGGGGAAUAUUGCACAAUGGGCGGAAGCCUGAUGCAGCGACGCCGCGUGCGGGAUGACGGCCUUCGGGUUGUAAACCGCUUUCGCCUGUGACGAAGCGUUAGUGACGGUAAUGGGUAAAGAAGCACCGGCUAACUACGUG